rnacentral:rRNA from 1 species
AGUGAACGCUGGCGGUAGGCCUAACACAUGCAAGUCGAACGGCAGCACAGUAAGAGCUUGCUCUUACGGGUGGCGAGUGGCGGACGGGUGAGGAAUACAUCGGAAUCUACUUUUUCGUGGGGAAUAACGUAGGGAAACUUACGCUAAUACCGCAUACGACCUACGGGUGAAAGCAGGGGAUCUUCGGACCUUGCGCGAUUGAAUGAGCCGAUGUCGGAUUAGCUAGUUGGCGGGGUAAAGGCCCACCAAGGCGACGAUCCGUAGCUGGUCUGAGAGGAUGAUCAGCUACACUGGAACUGAGACACGGUCCAGACUCCUACGGGAGGCAGCAGUGGGGAAUAUUGGACAAUGGGCGCAAGCCUGAUCCAGCCAUACCGCGUGGGUGAAGAAGGCCUUCGGGUUGUAAAGCCCUUUUGUUGGGAAAGAAAAGCAGCAGGUUAAUACCCCGCUGUUCUGACGGUACCCAAAGAAUAAGCACCGGCUAACUUCGUG